rnacentral:rRNA from 1 species
GAUGAACGCUGGCGGCGUGCCUAACACAUGCAAGUCGAACGGAAAGGCCCUGCUUUUGUGGGGUGCUCGAGUGGCGAACGGGUGAGUAACACGUGAGUAACCUGCACCUGACUUUGGGAUAACUUCUGGAAACUGGGGCUAAUACCGGAUAGGAGCUCCUGCUGCAUGGUGGGGGUUGGAAAGUGUCGGCGGUUGGGGAUAGACUCGCGGGUUAUCAGCUUGUUAGUGGGGUAGUGGCUUACCAAGGGUUAGACGGGUAGCCGGCCUGAGAGGGUGAACGGCGACAAGGGGACUAAGGGACGGAGCAGACGCCUACGGGACGCAGUGGGCGGAAGUAUUGCGGAGUGAGCGGGAGCGAGAUGCAGCAACGCCGCGAUCGGAAUGACCGCCUACGGGUUAUGAACCGCUUUCGCCUGAGACGUAGCGUGAGUGACGGUAAAGGGUAAAGAAGCACCGGCUAACUACGUG